ACAUCGUCCAGAAUUGCUCUUCAGUACUUCAAGAACAAGGUCAAGGUCAACCAAUCAAGGACGUUCAGAGGUCCUUCUGGAGACGUGUUUACUGCAAAGGUCGUCAAAGAGGUCAACUGUGGAAAAUACCGAGCUGUUGUCACUGAAGUCAAAGGUCAUGGUUACUUUUGUGGAAAUUCUACUUUCACCUUGGAAGAAAACGAUGUUACCGGAAGAGGGUUUCUUUUACAGUAGCACCCUUGCAGUAAGACUUACCUAUUAAACACAGGGGUAUUUAGAAUUGUUCCUUGAAAAAAAUCAAAUUUUAGAUUUGAAAGUGCUGUUUUAUACAAAUCAUACGUUUUGGAAUCUUUAUAGUCGUUGCAUUCACACUUCUAAUAAUAGAUGUAUAAAGUGAAGUUGCUUUACGUUUAAUUAGUAUAGCUUUAUUAAUAUACCAAAUUGUUGCAAUAAAAAAUCUGCUAC
rnacentral:misc_RNA from 1 species